AUUGAACGCUGGCGGCAGGCCUAACACAUGCAAGUCGAGCGGAUGAUGGGAGCUUGCUCCUGGAUUCAGCGGCGGACGGGUGAGUAAUGCCUAGGAAUCUGCCUGGUAGUGGGGGACAACGUUUCGAAAGGAACGCUAAUACCGCCUACGUCCUACGGGAGACAGCAGGGGACCUUUGGGCCUUGCGCUCUCAGAUGAGCCUAGGUCGGAUUAGCUUGUUGGUGAGGUAAUGGCUCACCAAGGCGACGAUCCGUAACUGGUCUGAGAGGAUGAUCAGUCACACUGGAACUGAGACACGGUCCAGACUCCUACGUGAGGCAGCAGUGGGGAAUAUUGGACAAUGGGCGAAAGCCUGAUCCAGCCAUGCCGCGUGUGUGAAGAAGGUCUUCGGAUUGUAAAGCACUUUAAGUUGGGAGGAAGGGUUGUAGAUUAAUACUCUGCAAUUUUGACGUUACCGACAGAAUAAGCACCGGCUAACUCUGUGCCAGCCGCCGCAGUAAGAC
rnacentral:rRNA from 1 species